rnacentral:rRNA from 1 species
GUGGGGAAUCUUAGACAAUGGGGGCAACCCUGAUCUAGCCAUGCCGCGUGAUCGAUGAAGGCCUUAGGGUUGUAAAGAUCUUUCAGCUGGGAAGAUAAUGACGGUACCAGCAGAAGAAGCCCCGGCUAACUCCGUGCCAGCAGCCGCGGUAAUACGGAGGGGGCUAGCGUUGUUCGGAAUUACUGGGCGUAAAGCGCACGUAGGCGGAUUGGAAAGUUGGGGGUGAAAUCCCGGGGCUCAACCCCGGAACUGCCUUCAAAACUCCCAGUCUUGAGGUCGAGAGAGGUGAGUGGAAUUCCGAGUGUAGAGGUGAAAUUCGUAGAUAUUCGGAAGAACACCAGUGGCGAAGGCGACUCACUGGCCCAAUACUGACGCUGAGGCGCGAAAGCGUGGGGAGCAAACAGGAUUAGAUACCCUAGUAGUCC